GAUGAACGCUAGCGGCAGGCUUAACACAUGCAAGUCGAGGGGCAGCAAGGAUUGUGCUUGCACAAUUUGUUGGCGACCGGCGCACGGGUGCGUAACGCGUAUGCAACCUACCUUUAACAGGGGGAUAACACUGAGAAAUUGGUACUAAUUCCCCAUAACACCUGAAGGGGCAUCCUUUUGGGUUGAAAGUUCCGGCGGUUUGAGAUGGACAUGCGUUGUAUUAGUUAGUUGGUGAGGUAACGGCUCACCAAGACGACGAUACAUAGGGGACUGAGAGGUUAACCCCCCACACUUGGUACUGAGACACGGACCAAACUCCUACGGGAGGCAGCAGUGAGGAUAUUGGUCAAUGGACGCAAGUCUGAACCAGCCAUGCCGCGUGCAGGAAGACGGCUCUAU
rnacentral:rRNA from 1 species